rnacentral:rRNA from 1 species
CAGUAGCCGCGGUAAUACGAAGGGGGCUAGCGUUGCUCGGAAUGACUGGGCGUAAAGGGCGCGUAGGCGGUCUGUACAGUUGGAUGUGAAAUUCCUGGGCUUAACCUGGGGGCUGCAUUCAAUACGUGCAGGCUUGAGUGUGGAAGAGGGUUGUGGAAUUCCCAGUGUAGAGGUGAAAUUCGUAGAUAUUCGGAGGAACACCAGUGGCGAAGGCGGCUCACUGGUCCAUUACUGACGCUGAGGUGCGAAAGCGUGGGGAGCAAACAGGAUUAGAUACCCCUGUAGUCCCUGUCUCUUAUAA